AUUUUAAUUAAUUUGUGUACUUCAAAAGAUAAAGAUUCUAAAAACGACAGAAAAUCUAUUUGCUUUCAAGACAAAAACAUAAUCAAUCUAUAAUGCAAGUUUCGCAGAAUGACUAAAAGGGGCAACAAUUAUAAACCAGCUACCACGUUCUCUACUAUCAUGAAGGGCACCAACUGCCAAAUUCUCUAUUAUGGGGCACCGCUCGUUUGGAAUGACAUUUUUCCGGAAAAUCAUUUGCGUGCUUCAGCCUUCUUCUGCUCUUUUGCAGCCUUUUCUUCUUCUCGCUUUCUAGCAGCUUCUGCCCUUUGCUGACGUAUGAGACUCAAUCGCUCUAAGUCUUUUCUGGCUUGUUCUGUUUUUCCUUGUUCUUGCAGCCUCAUGUAUCGCUCAUGAGCUCUUUG
rnacentral:misc_RNA from 1 species